GAACUUUACAAGAGAAUGAGUUCUGACUGUCCAUGGAUAUAGAGCUUAACAUCCAAGUCCAAGUGAUCAAGUAUUCCGCUAUCUCGAGGGGUGGUAAAUUGCCAUAUGCAAUUGAUCGGGAAUGCAAUGGAUUAUGGUGGGCAUCGUGAAAAUGGAAGACACAAAAAAUGGAUUGCUUCGUCUCUACCGGAAAUGGGUUUCCACAUCUCAGCUUGUCGCAACUAUACUUUCCCCGUGCUAUGGCAGGUGCCAAUUCUCUUCAAAUUUGUUCAUCAUGAACAUCUUCAUUUUUAAAGAAAUCUACAUCUUUAACAUUUAUGUGUUUUUGCAGGAUUUCAGGAAGAUAUUUGUAGAAAAUGAUUCCGUAGUAGAAAAGGCAUUUAAUUUUUAGUAGUAUAAUCAUUAUUUUUUAUGAAUAUUUUGGUGAACAUUUUUUGUUUGUGAUGUAAUGGAUGGAUGGAAUAUUUUCCGACUUUGAAUUUUAUGAAUAUUUCCCGUUUUCUAA